rnacentral:rRNA from 1 species
UACGUAGGAGGCGAGCGUGUCCGGAAUUACUGGGCGUAAAGAGCGCGUAGGCGGCGCUGUACGACCCGUGUGAAAGCCCCCGGCUCAACUGGGGAGGGUCACGGGUAACGGCAGUGCUCUGAGUGCAGGAGAGGGAAGUGGAACUCCGGGAGUAGCGGUGAAAUGCGUAGAGACCCGGAGGAACACCGGUGGCGAAGGCGGCUCCUGGUCUGCAACUGACGCUGGUGGCGCGAAAGCUAGGGGAGGCAAACGGGAGUUAGAAACCCGAGUACGUCAG